rnacentral:rRNA from 1 species
GACGAACGCUGGCGGCGUGCUUAACACAUGCAAGUCGAACGGAAAGGCCCUGCUUUUGUGGGGUGCUCGAGUUGCGAACGGGUGAGUAACACGUGAGUAACCUGCCCUUGACUUUGGGAUAACUUCAUGAAACUGGGGCUAAUACCGGAUAGGAUCUCCUGCUGCUUGGUGGGGGUUGGUAAGUUUCGGCGGUUGGGGAUGGACUCGCGUUGGAUCAGCUGGUUGGUAGGGUAGUGGCUUACCAAGGUGUUGACGGGUAGCCGGCCGGGGAGGGGGACCAGCCAGGAUGGGACUGAGACACGGCCCACACUCGGGGGGGAGGCAGGGGGAGGGAAGAAAGGGGGAGGGGCGCAAGCCUGAUCCAGCCAGGCCGCGGGAGGGAGGAAUGCGGUAGGGUUGUAAAGUUCGCUUAGCAGGGAGGAUAAUGACAGUAACGGGAGAAUAAGCCCCGGCUAACUCCGUG